UACGUAGGGGGGCAAGCGUUGUCCGGAUUUAUUGGGCGUAAAGAGCGUGUAGGCGGUCCGGUAAGUCCGCUGUGAAAGUCGGGGGCUCAACCCUCGAAUGCCGGUGGAUACUGUCGGGCUAGAGUGCGGAAGAGGCGAGUGGAAUUCCUGGGUGUAGCGGUGAAAUGCGCAGAUAUCAGGAGGAACACCUAUUGCGAAGGCAGCUCGCUGGGACGUAACUGACGCUGAGACGCGAAAGCGUGGGGAGCAAACAGG
rnacentral:rRNA from 1 species